rnacentral:rRNA from 1 species
CAGCGCCACGAGUGGCAACCACGUUUAUUGGGCCUAAAGCGUCCGUAGCCGGUCUGGUAAAUUCUCUGUGAAAUCGGCCAUGUAAACUGGUCGGCGUGCAGAAAACACUGCUAGGCUUGGGACUGGGAGAGGUUAGAAGUAUUCUAGGGGUAGCGGUAAAAUGUUAUAAUCCCUGGAGGACUGCCAAUGGCGAAGGCAUCUAACCAGCACAGAUCCGACGGUGAGGGACGAAAGCUAGGGGAGCGAUCCGGAUUAGAUACCCGAGUAGUCC